UUGACAUUCAGUAAAGACAAAGAAUUUUAAUCUAUAGUGUAUAAUCUAUUCUCAAUUUGAUUGACGCGUGUGUUUCAAGUACAUGGUACCUAGUGUAAUGAAAAAGUUUUUAAAUGCCAUAACCGUAAAACCGCAGCAUCAACAAGCCCAACUCGGAACAAUUAAUAUAGUCGUAAUGACUACGUCAAGAGCCGUCAUUAAUCCGCGUACACUCUUGAAUUUCAAUAAAUGUCAAAAUACUGGCCACAAUGUUAAUUGAUUUCGUUGAUUAUAAAUACAAUUAAACCUGUUUUUGAAUAACUUAAA